CCUACGGGGGGCUGCAGUGGGGAAUAUUGGACAAUGGGGGGAACCCUGAUCCAGCCAUGCCGCGUGUGUGAAGAAGGCCCUCGGGUUGUAAAGCACUUUCAGUGAGGAAGAACGCCUGGUGGUUAAUACCCAUCAGGAAAGACAUCACUCACAGAAGAAGCACCGGCUAACUCCGUGCCAGCAGCCGCGGUAAUACGGAGGGUGCGAGCGUUAAUCGGAAUUACUGGGCGGAAAGCGCGCGUAGGUGGCUUGAUAAGCCGGUUGUGAAAGCCCCGGGCUCAACCUGGGAACGGCAUCCGGAACUGUCAAGCUAGAGUGCAGGAGAGGAAGGUAGAAUUCCCGGGGUAGCGGUGAAAUGCGUAGAGAUCGGGAGGAAUACCAGUGGCGAAGGCGGCCUUCUGGACUGACACUGACACUGAGGUGCGAAAGCGUGGGUAGCAAACAGGAUUAGAUACCCUUGUAGUC
rnacentral:rRNA from 1 species